rnacentral:rRNA from 1 species
GACGAACGCUGGCGGCGUGCUUAACACAUGCAAGUCGUACGGUAAGGCCCUUUCGGGGGUACACGAGUGGCGAACGGGUGCGUAACACGUGAGUAACCUGCCCACAACUUUGGGAUAACGCUAGGAAACUGGUGCUAAUACUGGAUAUGUGCUCCUGCUGCAUGGUGGGGGUUGGAAAGCUCCGGCGGUUGUGGAUGGACUCGCGGCCUAUCAGCUUGUUGGUGGGGUAGUGGCCUACCAAGGCGGCGACGGGUAGCCGGCCUGAGAGGGUGACCGGCCACAUUGGGACUGAGAUACGGCCCAGACUCCUACGGGAGGCAGCAGUGGGGAAUAUUGCACAAUGGGCGCAAGCCUGAUGCAGCAACGCCGCGUGCGGGAGGACGGCCUUCGGGUUGUAAACCGCUUUCAGCAGGGACGAAGCUUUUUGUGACGGUACCUGCAGAAGAAGCACCGGCUAACUACGUG